UACGAAGGGGGCUAGCGUUGCUCGGAAUCACUGGGCGUAAAGGGUGCGUAGGCGGGUCUUUAAGUCAGGGGUGAAAUCCUGGAGCUCAACUCCAGAACUGCCUUUGAUACUGAAGAUCUUGAGUGCGGGAGAGGUGAGUGGAACUGCGAGUGUAGAGGUGAAAUUCGUAGAUAUUAGCUAGAACACCAGUGGCGAAGGCGGCCAACUGGUCCGGUACUGGACGCUGAGGCACGAAAGCGUGGGGAGCAAACAGG
rnacentral:rRNA from 1 species